rnacentral:rRNA from 1 species
UACGUAGGGUCCGAGCGUUGUCCGGAAUUACUGGGCGUAAAGAGCUCGUAGGCGGCUUGUUGCGUCGACUGUGAAAACCCGCGGCUUAACUGCGGGCUUGCGGUUGAUACGGGCGGGCUAGAGUUCGGUAGGGGGAGACUGGAAUUCCGGGUGGUAGCGGUGGAAUGCGUAGAGAUCCGGAAGAACACCGGUGGCGAAGGCGGUCUGCUGGGGUAAUGCUGACACUGAUGCGCGACAGCGUGGGGGAGCAAACAGG